CCAGUUUCCCGCACUGUACUGAUGGACUCAUUUCGUUUCAGUAUGGAGUAAACGUGAAUUUAUAAUACCAAAUGACUUGAAUGAUCCUGUAUGUUUUCUUCGUAAUCUCACGAUUCUAAUCAUAGACAUCAUUGUUGAAAAAGGAUGGUGGUAGAGAAAUCUCCAGGAUUCUCAAGCUUGAGUAUGACACAUCAGGGACACUAAGGCAGGAAGGAUGCCUGAAGUUUGAGGCCAGCUGGGUUAUAUGCUUGACUAUGGGUAGUGCUGGGCUCUGGUUGCAGAAGUAUAAUGAGGACCACCUUCUGAUCCUUCAGUCAAUGACAGGCCAUGUGUAUGACGGCCCCAUAGAUUAGAUUGGAGCUGGAGAAUUCUUGGCACCCAAUGACCUCUUAGCGAUGGACUUCAAGAUCCACUGCUAAUUUCACCAACAAGAGACCAACGGGGAAUGGUAGUCUUGGAAACCGAAUUAGAAGCAGUAAGGAUGACGUAGGUGGGAAAGCAGUAAUGGUUACUGAGUGCCAGUCAGUUAUGUCCCAUCAAUCACAGCUACCAUCCUGAUGAACAAAAAUAAGAGCAAUGGAAGCAGUUACGUAAUCUGUUUCACAGAAGCAAUGAGACUAGGAAAAUUUUCAGCCAGGCCUCUAUCGCUUAUGGAGAACCUUCCAAUGAUCUGGACUAAAGACCGGGCACAGAAGCAUAUCCCUGUCAGCACUGUGGCAAUCAAAACCAAGGCACACAGGUUGAUCUCAUUGAAAGAAAAGGCUAAACCAAGCAAUGAUGUUGGGUUUACUAUUAGCCCUAGGUGAGAAAAGUGGUUAAGAAAAGAUGACUCACUUUGUGAUGUGUAAAGAAUGUUGAAUCUCCAAAUACCAAUGUGAAGAUGGCUGAAGAAAUUCUGGAAACUCUGGGUGAGUUCACUUCAGGGGAAAACUACUUAUUAGAGCCAGUGUUCAAUGUAUAAAAUUCCCCUGUCCUAGUGAUGAAUGCAUGAGGGGACUCUCACCUUUAGGAGGGCAACUCAAUGCUGGAUUUAAGGUUUCCACAAAUAGAUCAAAGUCUGGCUUGAGGGUGCUGAGGUAGGCUACAAGUUGAAACCCUUUGUGGUCUGACAUAGCGAGAUCCCCCAAGACUUUCAAGUGUGCCGCUGUGCCUACACCGCCAGCAGGCAACAGAAGCAGUAAGUCAUGGUAACGGCUUGGGAGCAUGUAUGUGUAAGCCAGCUCUCUCAUGAUGCUAUCUUGAGCUGUGGCAGCAAAGCAGAGAAACACUGCAUGGAGAGAGAUCUGUAAGGAUUUCUCUACUGGUACUGAUGCUCCCACCCAUCAGCCCUUCUGCUGGCCUUGCAGUCACAUCCCCAAUACUGAAGUGACGUCGUUCCUCCAGACACCGCUCUCUGCUUUGCCCAAGCCAUUGCUGGAGCAGAAGGACACAGAUGCAGUGCUUUGGGGAUGAAAACAUCCAUGACUGUGUCAAGACCCUAGCUUGGAAUUGAGGUGAUAUCACUAAGGAGUGUUGGGGUGGUGAUUGAAAGAAGACAAAGGUUUGCCUGUGAUUAAAGGUUUGCCAAGGACGCAGGACUUGCAGAAUUCCUCAAGGCUAAGCUGAGCUGGCAACGAACUUGACCUGGGUGUGGCUGGGGAUGACAUCUAGGAGCUCCUGAGGAAGUGACUAAUGAAGAGCCGUCAGCCCAAGAAGAGAGGCACAUAGCUGGAGAAGAGAGAAGAAAAAAGAAACCGAUGAAGUUCAAGGAGAAGAAGGCCAAGAAGAGCCACAAAAUUUAGUACAAGUUUCUACAGCCUUCAGUAAUCUCCAAAAGUGCUACAUCCAUGGCUGUCUCGCCAGUGUAGCAGAAAUGCUGGCUGGGCAGGCAGGUGUUGCCAGAGGAUUGGGAUCUGUGCUUCUCGGAGUUGUAUUCCAGGUGGUCCCUUGGUAAUCAGCUGUGGUCAUGAUGCCACCUGAGUCGCCAUUUGUACUGACUCGACUUGGAGCCAUAUGUGUGUCUUUUUCCCUUGUCUGUGUGUUCUUUGUGAUUCUUGCAUAUUGUUAACAGAUCAGACUAAUCUAGGCAGUUGCAGAUAUAAACAAGACUGCCGAGGAAAUUUUUGAGCUCUGCCCCACUAUCCAUUAAAGCCUUAAAAGAAGUAGCCAGUUCUGGGAAUUGGCAGGGUUAUCAUUAGGACAAUUCCUUGAUGAUGU